rnacentral:rRNA from 1 species
ACUCAUGGCGGUGGAUCAUUCGGCUUGCAUGCCGAUGAAGAAAGCAUCUAGCUGCGAGAAUUAGUCUGAAUUGCAGGGCACAUUGAUCAUCAACACUUACUCCUGGGGCUACGCUUGCCUCCGUCGCAGGGACCUUGAUUCCUUCAUUCCCCUAAGAUCAGAACCGAUCAGCGCUGUCGCAGGAUCCCUGGACUUGGUGCAGAGGCUUGUUGCCGGUUUAUCCUGGCCUCCACAUUUCCCACUCUUUAGGUCGGAAGGGCCAUUCGCCCGGGGUGCCCAGUGUGGUGAUGGCCCAAAAAGCCAACGCAACUUCCCCGUGAUGGGGACGCUGGCAGUGCCACGUGUGGCUGUCUGUGAUGUUCCAUGACUGCCGGUGUGGGAUGGCCCUGGAGCACAGGCCUAGUAACCGCAUCUGGUGAGAAACCUUUCCGCAGACAGGCUUUGGCCUAUAUCUCCCUGUGGACAGUGCAAACACAUCCGCGCCAGAGGCGUGGGGCACGGGAAACACCCCUACAGCCCCAGACCCAAGGCCGGCUGCCCAAACUUCGGCUCCCGACUACGACCUUAGGUCUGAUAUAGCAGCCAGCUGAAUUUAAGCUAUUAGUAAUUGGAGGAAAAGGAAUUCACCAGUAAUGGCGAGUGAAGCAGAGCCCAGUGCCGAAUCCCCGCCCUGCGGCGGUCAUGGGAACAGUGGCAUAGAGAAGACCGACUCCCUGUCAUUGCUCGGGGGGGCCUAUGCACUUCUGAUUGAGGCUGACCCCACGGACGGUGUUAGGCCGGUGGCAGCCCGCGAUGCACUGUGAUCGGGUCUUAUCGGAGUCAGAGGAUGGCAACCCCUGCUCCCGGUGGGACUGUUGACUGAUGUGGACUGUCCUCAGUGCCCUUCAACUGCAUCAUGCCGCUGGGCAGAGAGGAUCAUGGAGGGCACCAGGGGUCUGCGGUAAUGUCAGUUACCACCCAACCCGCCUUGAAACACUGACCAAGGAAUCUAGCAUGUGCACAAGUCGGAGGGCAGAAUGAAAUCAUGUGGCGCAACAAAGGUGAGGGUCGGAGCACACAAGCUGAGUUGAGAUCCCAUCACAGCGUUCUGGUGGGCGCACCAACGGCCCAUCUCACCCGCUCUGUUGCAGAGGUGGAGCAUGAGCAUGUGUGAUAGGACCCGAAAGAUGGUAAAAUAUGCCUGGGCAGGUUGAAGCCAGAGGAAACUCUGGUGGAGGUCCAUAGUAUUCCUGAUGUGCAAAUAGGUCGUCUGACCUGGUUAGGGGCAAAAGACUAAUUAAACCAUCUACUAGUGUCUCUUGAAAUUUCAGUUUUAUCUUGUAAAGCGAAUGAUUAGAAGUGCUGGCCCAAAACUAUCUCAACCUAUUUUCAAACUUUAAAUGGGUAAGAAGCCCAACUCGCUGGCAUGGAGCGGGGAAUUGAAUGAGAGUGCCCAGAGUCGUUACUUUUGGUAAGUGGACUGGUGCUGUGGGAUGAACCAAAUGCUGGGUUAAGGCGCCCAAUGCCGACGCUCAUCAGACCCCAGAAAAGGUGUUGGUUGAUGUAGACAGCAGGACAGUGGCUAUGAAAGUCCUAAUCUGCUAAGGAGUGUGUAACAACAGAACUGCCGAAUCAACUAACACUGAAAAUGGAUGGUAUGGACUGUUUAAUUAAAACAAAGCAUUGAAAAGGCCUGCAGUGGGUGUUGACGUGAUGUGAUUUCUGGCCAGUGCUCUGAAUGAAAGAAAUUCAAUGAAGCAGAGGAAAACGACAGGAGUAACUAUGACUCUCUUAAAGUAGCCAAAUGUCUCGUCAUCUAGUUGGUGAUGCAGAAUGAAUGGAUGAACGAGAUUCCCACUAUCCCUACAUACUAUCUAGAGAAACCACAACCAAGUGAACAGGCUUGGCAGAGUCAGGGGAGAAAGAAGACACUGUUGAACUUGAGUCUAGUCUGGCAUUGUGAAGAGACAUGAAAGGUGUAGGAUAAGUGGGAGGCCCUCGGGUCACCGGUGAAAUACCACUUUUGUUAUAAUUCUAAGGGACGCACCCUGGGACAGUGGCAGGUUGGGAGUUUGACUGGGGCGGUACACCUGUCAAACAAUAAUACAAGUGUCCUAAGGUAAGCUCAGGGAGAACAGACACCUCCUGCAGAACAGAAGUACAAAAGCUUACUUGAUCUCGAUUUUCAGUAUGACUACAGACCGUGAAAGCGGGGCCUCACAAUCUUUUUGACUUUUGGGGUUUCAAGCAGGAGGUGUCAGAAAAGUUACCGUAGGGAUAACUGGCUUGUGGAAGCCACGCGUUCAUAGGAACAUUGCUUUUUUGUUGUUGAUUCUUCCUAUUAUUGUGAAGCAGAAUUCAUCAAACGUUGGAUUGUUCACCCACUUAUAAGGAAUGUGAGCUGUGUUUAGACCACUGUGAGACACGUUAGUUUUACUCUACUGAUGAUGUGUUGUUGGAAUAGUAAUCCUGCUCAGUACGAAAGGAAACGCAGGUUCAGACAUUUCGUCUAUGUGCUUGGCUGAGGAGCCAAUGGGGCAAAGGUACCAUCUGUGGGAUUAUAACUGAACGGCUCGAAGUCAGAAUCCCCACUAAACAGUAAUGACACCACAGCGCUGUGGAGCAUUGGUUUGCCUAGGAUAGCUGCCUUGAGGCCAGUGCAUAGAGCUGCUCACCUCAGGACUCAAGUGUGUAAAGA